rnacentral:rRNA from 1 species
AUCGAACGCUGGCGGCAGGCCUAACACAUGCAAGUCGAGCGGCGUGGCGGACGGGGGAGUAAUGCCUAGGAAUCUGCCUGGUAGUGGGGGAUAACGUCCGGCAACGGGCGCUAAUACCGCAUACUAUCAGAUGACCCUAGGUCGGAGUAGAUAGAUGGUGGGGUAAAGGCUUCCCAAGGCGACGAUCCGUAACUGGUCUGAGAGGAUGAUCAGUCACACUGGAACUGAGACACGGUCCAGACUCCUACGGGAGGCAGCAGUGGGGAAUAUUGGACAAUGGGCGAAAGCCUGAUCCAGCCAUGCCGCGUGUGUGAAGACGGUCUUCGGAUUGUAAAGCACUUUAAGUUGAGAGGCGUUACCAACAGAAUAAGCACCGGCUAACUUCGUGCCAGCAGCCGCGGUAAUAC